AUCCAGUGACGAGUUCCAAAUAGGACGAAAUGCUCAUUCUGGAU
rnacentral:hammerhead_ribozyme from 1 species